GCAGCCUUGUGAAUGAAGUGGUGUGUUAGCCAUUGGUUAGCCAACAGAAGGAAUUGCCUGCAUGCAGGGAAUUUUUGCUCCAGGAUCAAGCUAUGCAGUUGUAUGUACAGCACCAGGUUUCCUACACACAGUAGGAAAAACCCUCAACCUGUUGUGCACUUUCCCACAUCAAGACACUCACAAUAGAGAUGGUCUCAUAAAAGGAUUCACCAGGCACGCACCAUGUAUUUUUUUAAGUAUGCAUAUGUUUUCUGCAGUACAGCUGCUUGGGUUGUUUGCAGUCUGCACAGUGUGGUUUCAGCUGUUUAAAAAAAGGCAAUUCCCUAUUGCAG